GAUGAAUUGCAUUUUAUAACACUUCAGCAUGGGCUUCAUAUUUUGAGACUGGAGGUUGACGCUUGAUUAAAGCGCAGCACGUAGCAGGACCACAUGAUAGCUGGAGUCACGAGACUGAGGACUCCCUACGUGAAAGUCAACACAAUGACUAGAACUUAGACCAAUCAGCUCUGGUGCUGUGACGGAGUGAGGACUGACCAAACAUGGAUCUGCUGGAAUCUAGCCGAAAGAACCCCGACAGGAAGAGACAAAAGCCCUUCAGUUGAUGUCAGGAUCCUGCUCACCCUGUUGGGAAUCUACUCACCUGCUCGCUAUACAUAAUCCCUUACCUAUCUGUCUGUUUGAUGUUUGUAGAGUGCAAUUUGUCACUCAGAGCUUUUGAGCAGAAAACUACUGCCUACUGCAGCUAUAAGAGCUUCAAGUCCUAAACAGAGAUCAGCCCUGUCUUCAAUGUAAGUCUGUUCAUCUUUUGUUCAUACAGUAAAGCAGCUUUAAAGUG